GGUACACGCUGUGACUAGCAUAUCAAUAAGCGGAGGAAAAGAAACUAACAAGGAUUCCCUCAGUAACGGCGAGUGAAGCGGGAAGAGCUCAAAUUUGAAAUCUUGAAAGGUCACCUUUCACGAAUUGUAGUUUAAAGAAGUGUUUUCUGUUACGAUCGUAAUAUAAGUUCUUUGGAAUAGGACAUCACAGAGGGUGAGAAUCCCGUCUAUGAUUGCGAUUUGUAGCUUUGUGAUACACUUUCAAAGAGUCGGGUUGUUUGGGAAUGCAGUCCAAAAUGGGUGGUAAAUUUCAUCUAAAGCUAAAUAUUGGCGAGAGACCGAUAGCGAACAAGUACCGUGAGGGAAAGAUGAAAAGAACUUUGAAAAGAGAGUUAAAUAGUACGUGAAAUUGUCAAAAGGGAAGCGUUUAACACCAGUGUUGUUUUCUGAAAAUCAACCUCUGUUAGCUUUAUGCAUGUUUGUUUAGACCUAAUCAGCUAUCUUGCAUGUUCUAUUGUUUGCAGUGGUGCACUUUUCAGUUUACAGGUCAACAUCAGUUUUUUUUACCGUAAAAAAGUUAAAGAAAGGUAGCUCAUGGCUCCGGUCGUGAGUGUUAUAGUCUUUUUCCUAUGCGGUAGGAGAGACUGAGGUCUGCAGUGUAGGCUAUUUGGCUAGAUACUCAGGUGCUAUGUGAUACCAUUUCAUAAACAACUUGUUGAUUAUGUUUUGUCUAUUGCAUACUCGCUUGUACUAUCAUACCUACGCUUAGGAUGUUGAGUAGCGACAUACGCAC
rnacentral:rRNA from 1 species